GACGAACGCUGGCGGCGUGCCUAAUACAUGCAAGUAGAACGCUGAAGGAGGAGCUUGCUUCUCCGGAUGAGUUGCGAACGGGUGAGUAACGCGUAGGUAACCUGCCUGGUAGCGGGGGAUAACUAUUGGAAACGAUAGCUAAUACCGCAUAACAGUAGAUAUUGCAUGAUAUCUGCUUGAAAGGUGCAAUUGCAUCACUACCAGAUGGACCUGCGUUGUAUUAGCUAGUUGGUGGAGUAACGGCUCACCAAGGCGACGAUACAUAGCCGACCUGAGAGGGUGAUCGGCCACACUGGGACUGAGACACGGCCCAGACUCCUACGGGAGGCAGCAGUAGGGAAUCUUCGGCAAUGGACGGAAGUCUGACCGAGCAACGCCGCGUGAGUGAAGAAGGUUUUCGGAUCGUAAAGCUCUGUUGUAAGAGAAGAACGAGUGUGAGAGUGGAAAGUUCACACUGUGACGGUAUCUUACCAGAAAGGGACGGCUAACUACGUGCCAGCAGCCGCGGUAAUACGUAGGUCCCGAGCGUUGUCCGGAUUUAUUGGGCGUAAAGCGAGCGCAGGCGGUUAGAUAAGUCUGAAGUUAAAGGCUGUGGCUUAACCAUAGUACGCUUUGGAAACUGUUUAACUUGAGUGCAAGAGGGGAGAGUGGAAUUCCAUGUGUAGCGGUGAAAUGCGUAGAUAUAUGGAGGAACACCGGUGGCGAAAGCGGCUCUCUGGCUUGUAACUGACGCUGAGGCUCGAAAGCGUGGGGAGCAAACAGG
rnacentral:rRNA from 1 species